rnacentral:tRNA from 1 species
CAAGAAACGGAAUAAUAUAUCCCAAAUUAAAGUUAGCAGCCUCAAUUUAUAAUUUCUU